ACUUGGUACACACAGGAAUGAACCCAGGGAAGAUGGGAGCGGGCAGUCAUCGGCGGAGACGUAGGCCGUACAGAUCACAGUCUGGGAAUUAAGGUCUUGGCUUGUCUUGUGCCACUUCCACCUGUGCUGCAAACACUGAACAGCACUGACACCCCAUCUACAAUCCCGCUGCCAAGAGCAGGCAUGUGUGACAGAGGACUUGGGAAUCUCAGCCUGAACAUUGCCACCUCAUCUUUUAUGUAUGAAAUCAAAGAAAGCCAUUGGCUUCAUUUCUGCUGACAAGAUGGAGGCUGGAAAAACCUUGGCUGCAGAUACUUAGAGCCCAUGGAAACAGAGAUCGUAUACUUCAGUCUCGCCAGCUCAGAAGGUGGAGAGGAACCAUGCCCAGAAGUCAUACUGAGUGGGUUGCACCUAAGCCAUCAUCUGGCACACUGGUUCAGACACUACCUGGGAGACCUGGGAUUUGAGUUGAUGUUUUAAUAAGAGGGAACUUUGGGAGACCUUGACAUGGGAUGAAUGAAACCUGCAUUUGCAAAAUAUAUGAAUUUGGGGGCAAGAGGAAAGCCCAUGGCAGGCAGAACCCCCUCCAAAGAAUAGCAAAUGCUUCUUCAGCCUUGGGACUUACCGUCAGAAAGGU